rnacentral:rRNA from 1 species
AAACCGUUCAGGGGUAAACCUGAGAAACCCAAAAGAUCGAAUGGGGAGAUUCAUCGUCAGCUCAUUUUGUAUAUAUAUGAGUUAUGAUAUGGGUUACUACUUGUAGUAUUGCCUGUACAUUCUUGUAUAUUUUAUUGCAAGAUGUUGUCGGCGUGCACUUCUCCCCUAGUAGGACGUCGCGACCCGUUGAGUGUCGGUCUACGGCCCGAGUGGUAGCCUUUAAUUCUUGUAAUUAAAGACCCUUGGUGUUUCCCGGCUGGCUACUCGGCGGUAUUCGUACGGUAUUAAGCCGCAUUUAUGCGUUCAUAUCCGUCGCAAGCGCGGUCAAUUUUUGGUAGUACGGACCUAGUGCCGUCGCUAUAAUUGAUCAGCUGUUGGUUGUACGGUAUUCUAGAACUGGCUUAACAUAUACCGGUCUGCGAUGCUACUGCUUUGGGUACUUUCAGGA